AACCUUAUGGACCUGCGGGCGUAUACCUGCGGAAGGAUCAUUACCGAGUGAUGCCCUGUCGUCGGUCUGUAACAAGAUCGAUGACCGGGUGACCUCCCAACCCCAUGUUUAUUUGACCUUUUUGUUGCUUCGGCAGGACGGUUCGAAUGGACCUGAGCCCGAUUUCCGGGUGACUGUCGAUGGCCCAUAUCAAAUUCUUGUAUUGAAACCAUGUCGUCUAAAAAAACUUUUUGAGAAAUC
rnacentral:misc_RNA from 1 species